UGCUAAAUGUUGAGAGACAUUCUAUUGGUUCCCAUGGUGAUUGCUCCUUAUUUUGCACUUUAUUUGCUCCCCCAAGAAACUGCCUGUAGUUGUACCCCUCCCCCAAUACGCUAUCUGUAGCUGUUCCCCCUCCCCUAUAGUAGCUGUACCCCCUCCCCCAAUACUUUGCCUGUAGCUGUAUCCCCCCCAAUAUGCUACCUUUAACUGUAUCCCCUCCCCCAAUAUGCUACCUGUAGCGUUUCCCCCUCCCCCAAUAAACUGCCUGUAGCUGUACCCCCUCCCUCAAUAAAUUGCCUGUAGCUGUACCCCCUUUCCCAAAAGCUACCUGUAGCUGUACCCCCUUUCCCAAUACGCUAC